rnacentral:tRNA from 1 species
GGGUCCGUGGCCUAGCUAGGAUAAGGCACCUGCCUCCGGAGCAGGUGAUCCCGGGUUCAAAUCCCGGCGGACCCGCCA